rnacentral:rRNA from 1 species
AAAGCGUGCGCAGGCGGUUAUGUAAGACAGAUGUGAAAUCCCCGGGCUCAACCUGGGAACUGCAUUUGUGACUGCAUGGCUAGAGUACGGUAGAGGGGGAUGGAAUUCCGCGUGUAGCAGUGAAAUGCGUAGAUAUGUGGAGGAACACCGAUGGCGAAGGCAGCCCCCUGGGUCAAGAUUGACGCUCAUGCACGAAAGCGUGGGGAGCAAACAGGAUUAGAUACCCUAGU